UACGAAGGGGGGCUAGCGUUGCUCGGAAUCACUGGGCGUAAAGCGCACGUAGGCGGACUCUUAAGUCGGUGGUGAAAUCCUGGAGCUCAACUCCAGAACUGCCUUCGAUACUGGGAGUCUCGAGUCCGGGAGAGGUGAGUGGAAUUCCGAGUGUAGAGGUGAAAUUCGUAGAUAUUCGGAAGAACACCAGUGGCGAAGGCGGCUCACUGGACUGGUAUUGACGCUGAGGUGCGAAAGCGUGGGGAGCAAACAGG
rnacentral:rRNA from 1 species